AACGGCCGCGGUAUCCUAACCGUGCAAAGGUAGCGCAAUCACUUGCCCCUUAAUUAUGGGCUAGUAUGAACGGUUACAUGAGGGUUUAACUGUCUCCUAUGACCAAUCAAUGAACUUGAUCACUCAGUACAAACGCUGAAAUAAAACCACAAGACGAGAAGACCCUGUGGAACUUUAAGUUUAUUCACUAGCAAAUAAGAGGUAGACCUCACUAUUUUUAACCUAGCGAAAACUUUCAGUUGGGGCAACUACGGAGUAAAACAAAACCUCCACGCACCGCAACUAACACUUGCACCCCAGGCCCACACGCCUACCACCACAUCAGACCCAGCAAGGCUGAUCAACGAACCAAGCUACCCCAGGGAUAACAGCGCCAUCCCCUUCAAGAGUCCAUAUCGCCAGGGGGGUUUACGACCUCGAUGUUGGAUCAGGACCCCCAGGCGGUGUAGCCGCUGCCAAAGGUUCGUUUGUUCAACGAAUAACGUCCU
rnacentral:rRNA from 1 species